rnacentral:rRNA from 1 species
GACGAACGCUGGCGGCGUGCCUAAUACAUGCAAGUCGAGCGAAGUUUUUCUGGUGCUUGCACUAGAAAAACUUAGCGGCGAACGGGUGAGUAACACGUAAAGAACCUGCCUCAUAGACUGGGACAACUAUUGGAAACGAUAGCUAAUACCGGAUAACAGUAUUUCUCGCAUGGGAGAUAUUUAAAAGUUGGUUAUGCUAACACUAUGAGAUGGCUUUGCGGUGCAUUAGCUAGUUGGUGGGGUAAAGGCCCACCAAGGCGACGAUGCAUAGCCGACCUGAGAGGGUGAUCGGCCACACUGGGACUGAGACACGGCCCAGACUCCUACGGGAGGCAGCAGUAGGGAAUCUUCCGCAAUGGGCGAAAGCCUGACGGAGCAACGCCGCGUGAGUGAAGAAGGAUUUCGGUUCGUAAAGCUCUGUUGUUAGGGAAGAAUGGAUAUGUAGUAACUAUACAUAUAAGAGACGGUACCUAACCA